AUAUAUCAAAUUUCCAUAUUUCAGUCAUAAAAUUCAGCGGAGAAAAGAGAUACCUAGAAUUUCUUACAAAUAUACUAUCCUAUCUAUAAGUGACCAGAUAAAGUACUUAUCCAUGAUCAAUUAUCGAAAUCUGCUCUUUACGAUUAAAGUAUUUGAUUUUGCAUUUUUUCAUUUAUAAAGAUGUAAAAUAUUUGAAAUUCUCAUGUUUCUAAUUUCCAUGUUUGAAUACUUCAAUUCAAAUAAAGGAGCACAAAGACGGCAUUGAAAAAUACUAGGACUUCAGUUUUCUCAGAUGUUUUAGAAUGAUAGAGAACUUCCACCUUGCAAUAUUCUUUCUAUCAUUUUUGAGUUUGUUAUAUUUUUAUAACGUUAUGAAAUAUCUUCACACAGUUUGAACAAAAUAUGAAAAGUCUUAUUGAUAUAUAUAUAUAUGAUUCCUCGUAAAUGUCAUAUAAUAUUAGAGUGUAGUAUGUUUCAAUCUAUUGCGGCAUUCAGGACGAAAUAUAUAAAACUCACGUGGCAGUUAACGUGUUAAUCCUGUUGUUCUCUUCGGAUCUGUAUGACCUGAAAUGGAUAUUAUGUUUCAAUAGGCGUUAUUACAUAAUAUUAAUCGGAUAGUAUUAUUAUAUCGUAAUAGAUAUUAUUAUCAUUAUUAUUAUAGUUAAUAGCCAAUUAAUACUAUGUAAUAAUAUUUAUUGAAACGUAGUAUCCAUUUUAGGUCAUAUAGAUUCGAAGAGGACAGCGGGGUUAACAGGGUUUUAAUAGAUAUUAUUAAAAUAUAGAUAGGUAGCAUAAGAUAAAACGUUAUAAAGUAUUUAAUUUCUAAAUAUUAUUAGAAAUUACAGAUAUUAUUAUUAUUAUUACGAUACAGACAACUUUUAAAUAUUCGCUUUUGCUAUUCAAUAUCAUUCUCACUGUCGUGCUUGUGUUCUACUUUUUUAACGAAUAAAGUAUUUCAACAAGGAAGAUAUCUAAAGAGAUGGAAACGUGAAAACGAAGCCCGAAGAACGGCAGGAUCCACUAACUUGAGCGUUAUCAAUGUUGAAUGAUUCACUUAUGAAACACCCUGUACAGUGUCGUACACGUUCCACGUUCAUCGGUGCGCUCUAUCAGGCGUGCUUCUUGGCACACCCUGUGUGUACGGUGCGUUGAUCGGGUGGCUCGUGGCACGCAUGCUCGGUUACCUCUGUCCGGAAGCCUCGCCACCGUGGAGAAAACGAUGCUUUCGAAAAAGAGGCCUCCCACUUUCGGCCGAGCAGUCUUCGACUGAUCCUCGAACGAGAAAGGUCGUCGGUAUUCGACGCGCGCGCGAUACCAUCCAACACGUUCCUAUUAUAGUGUGUGCGUGUGUGUUGAGUAUAAUCACUCGUCCUCUCUCCAAUUCUCUUUUUCCUUUAUUCCAUCGCUUUCUACGUAUUCUUACAAAGUUUCCGUAUAUUCACCGCGAUAGGUAUCGAUAGCCAGAAAUUUUUCGCGGCUAAGGUAUUCAGAGGUCGAAGACGAAGAAAGUCUCUUGACCCUUUUUUUUUUUCUUUUCUUUUCUUUUUCACUGUUGGUUCUCGAGCGCGUCGCGAGUUCGAUGUUCUUUCGGUUCAACGAUUCCUUCGCGCUGGUGGAACAACCUCGAGAUACUAUGCGGUCCCAUCGGCUCGUCCUUAUUCCGUUCUGUCGUUUGUUUUCGUUUCGCGCCACAUAGAGGCUACCCCCGUGCUUUUCUCUGGCGAUAUGGCCCUUUGAUGUUUGCUGAUCUGUGGAGGGGCGAGUGAACAGAGAACCGCGAACGUACUAUGUUGCUGUGAAACUCGCGAACCGCGGAUUCGCCUCACGAAAUCUUCAGGUGAACCAGCGAUACGGUCGCGAAAGGUCGAACGAAAUAGAAAAAGGCAAAACCCGAGUCACACCAGAGAGGCAAAUCAUACAGCUGUGUUUCGUUUCUAUCCACUUAGUAGGCCGGGCCACGUGUACCAAGAGAAUUAUUGCAACGGAUAACGCCGUGUUUCUGACACGGUCGACACGCCACGUUACUACGUCGUAACACGAAAUUGAUUAACCCUUAACUGGUUGCGUAUCUCCGUCGGGUUAAAGGCUGAUCAAUACGAGCCACGUUUCAUUCGUUCGAUCCGAGUGUCUUCUUUUUAACUGGCUGCGACAAUUGCUAUCUCUGAGGAGCUUCCUUUUAGGAAGCUUCGGAAAGCCACGUCUCGAGUAAUACUUGUGAUUCCCCAUCGAGUCUUUCGUGGAUUGUCAGUUUGGAACACUUUAACGUCUCGUUACCUCUUUUUCUCUUCCACGAGCGAUCCGAUCGCUUUUCAAUGAAAUAUCGGUUAGAAUAUAGAGGACAGAACAAUUUUCUCUUUGCUCUUUCAUGUAUACGCGGAAUUACUUAAUCCUGAAGUAGAUAUUAUAUUUGUAUAUUAAGUGUCGUUCGAAGAAUUGUUGUAUAAUGUGGUCCUGAUAUACCGUACUUUAUUGGUGGAGAAGUUUUAAAUGGAAUAUUGUACCGAUGGAACAUAGAAGUUUGAGUAUAAUAGCGUGUUAGUUUCAAUAGUUAAUUCCGUAGCUGUGUAAUCGAGUAAUAAGCUAUAUAAUACACGUUGUUACACAGUAGUUGGCCAGAUACCUUCCGUUGUUUGAAGAAUAUCUACUGCAUGCAAUGAACGUGAACUCUUUCUCACUUCGGUAGAUCUUAAUGUCUCGUUGUUUGGAAAAUUGUUGUACGCGAAUACUGUUACGCGUGGUUUCCACGAACAUCUAUACUCUUUGUAUGUGUAUUAAAAAACGCGAGGAAGUGUAGACAUAACAGAAUACCUGAGCAACAAUGUAUUAACGUUAAUUAAUAACGAUUGUGUAGUUAGAUAAUUCAGUAGUAAGCUAUGUAAUAGACAACACAGUUAACAAGAUAUCUUGUAGUGUCGUUUAUUGGAAAUUUUCUCUAUGUAAUACGGUGUAUUUGAUGUACUUGAACAAAUUCAAACGAACUUAAUAGGAAGUCUUUCGUUUUGCAAUUAAUGUUAUAUAUUAUCAUUGUUAUAUAUUAUCGUAGAUGUUAAUCAUGAAGAUAAAAAAUGACAGAGAAAGCGAUAAUAAGAGCAUGCAAACGAGGAAAAUGUGUUUAGCGAUGUUUUAUAACGAUGUUCUGUAGCGAUAGCGAUAUUUCAGCGUGAAAUGUGUCAAAUUACUGAAUUCUUCCUAUCGUAUGUAUCUGAUGCUUAGUCAUCGUGUAUAUCUCAUAAUCAGGAUAUCGGUGUAAUUAAUUUGUGUUACUUGCACGCGAAAAUAGAUCAACCGAAUUGAUUAGACGCAACAUGUUUACGAAUUCAAGACACCUUUGACAAAUGAUCUUAAAAUGAUUAAUUGUAUGUAAAAAUAGUUCUACCUAAAAUAUUCGUCUACAUAAUUGUUAAUCAGGCUGCAUUUCAAAGAUAAAAUCAAAGAGGGAGCUUAGGAAAGAAAUAUUUUUUUUUAUAAGUAGCAAUUAAUCAGAACCCUCAGAAGAACUUCGAGUAAUUAAAGGGGUAACUUCAAUAAAUUAGACCAUAAAUUUUAACGGAACAUACGUAAUAUAUUCGCUUUAUCAGGCACCCCUAUAGCGUUUCAUAAACACUGUAGACACUUAUACUUCGUCCUACCAAUCUCAAAAUUAUAAUUCUAAUAUAUCUAUAUCUAUAAAUCUAAGAUUCAAUAUCAAUUCAAGGCGCAGCUUGAAAAAAUACAUUUCUUCACCUAACUUAAUUAGAUUAAAUCUAAGUUUUGAUUGUCUUGUGUAAAAGAACAAGUAAAUAAAGACAUAUUUAUUCCAAUA